CAAUUACUCAGAGCCACAAGGCACUUGAUCAGUGGACAGAUGACUGUAAGUGAAGUAAGACUGGAAAUAUUCAAUUUCUUAACUGCCAAAGACAAGGAAAUGUCAGGCAAUGUACUUUACAGUAUCAUUAUAUGAAGAAGCGACCAAAAGAAGUCCUCCGACGUAUCCAAGCCUAAGGCCCCACAAAAUGUGGGUCUGCUGCCGCCAGAGGACGAGAUGCACCGACCCACACCCCAGAGAGCACAGCAGAGCUCCUGUCCCUCCUGCCCCCUCGGCCCCACCAGCGCCCACUGGAGCUGGCACUGCUGGCAACCCCCACCCCCCACUCCGGGGGAUGGUGGCCACAGGCCCCUGCGGGGGAGUCCGGGGGGGGGAUGAGCCUGGCCCUGGGGCAAGGUCCAUUCCUUCUCUGAUUCUGUCCCAAUCCUGUUUCAGUAUUCUGCAAACAGUAUAUACAGUAGUGGA